GGGCCUCUAGCUCAUCUGGUAGAGCAACGGCUUUUUAAGCCGUGUGUGCCGAGUUCGAGUCUCGGGAGGCUCACCA
rnacentral:tRNA from 1 species